GGGGAUGUAGCUCGGUGGUGAGAGCGAGUGCCUAGCAUGCAGGAGGCCCUGGGUUCAAUCCCCAGCACCA
rnacentral:tRNA from 1 species